ACUUGAGCAGGUUUUCCAGAGGAUGGCCCAGCUAGAUCGGACGACAGCUAGAUCGGACGACAGCCAGAGGCAAGGGGAUUGAACUCAAGACCUUGCACUUCCGAAGCAGCAUCUCCGCUAAGUGGCCAGGCUGGACUUGAACUUGAGAUCCUCCCACUGAAGCCUCCGGAGUAACUGGGAUUACAGCCAUGUGUCUUCUAAUAAAAUCAAAAUCUUCAAGCCCAGCCAUGUCCCAGGCCACCUAUAUAAAAUUUUGGAACAUGGGUUGUAAGAAACAGAAUUCCUAGGAUUUUCCUGGUGACAUAUAUGAUGUUCUAUCAGGAAGAAGGUCAUAACCCAGGAAGCGCCUGGUUUCACAGGGCUGUGAUCCCAGCUGCUCAGGAGGUGAAUUCAGAACUGCAAAUUUGAUCUCACCUGGGCAAUUCAGGGAGACUCUGUCUCAAAAGUCAGGGGCCAGGGAUUUGGCUCAGUGGUGUCGGUGCCUGCCUGGCAAGCACAAGGUCCUGAGUUUGAUCCCCAUACCAAAAAAAAAAGUUAGAGUGUGUGGAGGGGCGGGGCACUCAGGGCUUCCUGAUGCAGUCUCCAGUAGCAGAGGAGGCAGUUGGACACUUCUGCUCCUGCAUGCUGUGUACUCACCGGAUUGAGGCAGGAGGGGGGAAAUAAACUAGGUAGAGAAGAGACAAAGAAAACCAUAAUUGGAUUGAGGCAGGAGGGGGGAAAUAAGCUAGGUAGAGAAGAGACAAAGAAAACCAUAAUUUCAAAAGAGUGCUUUUAAAAAGACUGCAACUUCAGGACACAAAGCUACCCAUGGUUUUGCAUAUCUGCAUGACAGAGGUUUGCUUAUACUUCUUAGGCUUUUUUCCCUCCUCACCCCAAAUCCCUAAAAGAUAUUAUAAAUCUAUAAAUUACCUUAAUUAAUAAGGUAAGGGACAGAAAUCUGGCCUUAAGACAGAGAAACUGAUUCAAAGGUUUCAAAGAAUAUUUUUUAGGCAAAAUAUCUUAGAUCACUCUUCUUCAAAUUAAAAACAAAC
ensembl:lncRNA